CCCCCUGCGUGUCCCCGUGUCCCCCUGCAUGUCCCUGUUCCCCUGGUUCUUGCCCCGUGGGCGCUUGGCACGGCGCAUUCUGGUGGGAUCUGGCGGUGCUUGUCCCUGCUUGGCGCGGGUGCCCAGAGCCACCGUGGAGCGGGGACCCGCUGCCCACAUCUCUUCCUCCCCCUCCAGGGCAACCAGGGAGAGCCGGGACCACCAGGACCUCCGGGCACCGCUGGCCCCCCGGGGACCCAGGGCCCAGCUGGGAUGAAGGGUGACCCCGGGGAGCCUGGUGCCAGCAUCCGGGGCUUGCCUGGUCCCCAGGGCAGCAUAGGGCUGCCCGGCCCCCCCGGCCCCCCAGGUUUGGCGGGUCCUCCGGGUGCCCCCGGGCUGCCAGGACAAGUGGUGAGCGUGCCUUCCCCACCCCUCACCCCAUGGGGAAACCAGCCCCCAGGGGCUGGGGGGCUAUGGGGUGCUCACGGCCCCAUAUCCCCGCCAUGCCAUCCGCAGGGGGAGAGCGGCAAGCCGGGCGUGCCGGGUCGGGACGGCGUGUCGGGGAAGGACGGCGAGCCCGGGAUGCCCGGCAAGAUGGUAACGGGGUCGGGCAGCCCCCUGCCAGCCCCCCGGGGCUGAGCACGGGCUGAGGGCUGCCUGCUUUGUGCCAGGGUGUGCCGGGACCUUCGGGCCCCGCCGGCCCCAAAGGGGAACCAGGGGACGCCGGAGCUCCGGGGCAGGUGAGCGCAGGGCUCCCCGCGGCUUUUCCCUGAUCACUGGGAUGCAGCAGAGCCCCCCCUAACCUCACACCUCUCUCCCCUGUGCCCCAGGCCGUCGCCGGCCCCCCCGGUGCCAAGGGCGAGAAGGUAAGGAGCUGGGG
rnacentral:lncRNA from 1 species